GGGCCCGCACAAGCGGUGGAGCAUGUGGUUUAAUUCGAUGAUACGCGAGGAACCUUACCAGGGCUUAAAUGCAGAACGACAGAGGUGGAAACACCUCCUUCUUCGGACGGUCUGCAAGGUGCUGCAUGGUUGUCGUCAGCUCGUGCUGUGAAGUGUCGGGUUAAGUCCCAUAACGAGCGCAACCCCUAUUUCUAGUUGCCAGCGGUUCGGCCGGGGACUCUAGAGAAACUGCCAGCGUAAGCUGUGAGGAAGGUGGGAUGACGUCAAAUCAUCACGGCCCUUACGUCCUGGGCUACACACGUGCUACAAUGGUAGGUACAGAGGGAAGCCACCCCGCGAGGGGAGCGGA
rnacentral:rRNA from 1 species